rnacentral:rRNA from 1 species
AUGAACGCUAGCGACAGGCCUAACACAUGCAAGUCGAGGGGCGAGCGACAAGGAGCAAUCUGAGGUGGCGACCGGCGGCACGGGUGAGUAACACGUAUGCAACCUGACCUGUAAGCGGGGAAUAACCCGUUGAAAGACGGACUAAUACCGCAUAAUACUAAAUUACUGCAUGGUAAUUUAUUUAAACAUUUAUGGCUUACAGAUGGGCAUGCGCAUGAUUAGCUAGUUGGAGAGGUAACGGCUCCCCAAGGCAACGAUCAUUAGGGGUUCUGAGAGGAAGGUCCCCCACACUGGUACUGAGACACGGACCAGACUCCUACGGGAGGCAGCAGUGAGGAAUAUUGGUCAAUGGACGAGAGUCUGAACCAGCCAAGUCGCGUGCAGGAAGAAUGUCCUAUUGGAUUGUAAACUGCUUUUGCAGGGGAAUAAAGUGCAUCACGUGUGAUGUUUUGUAUGUACUCUGCGAAUAAGGAUCGGCUAACUCCGUGCCAGCAGCAGC